AUUGAACGCUGGCGGCAUGCCUUACACAUGCAAGUCGAACGGCAGCGGGCCCUUCGGGGUGCCGGCGAGUGGCGAACGGGUGAGUAAUGCAUCGGAACGUACCCGGGAGAGGGGGAUAACCGGCCGAAAGGCUGGCUAAUACCGCAUGAACUCGGAAGAGCAAAGCGGGGGACCUUCGGGCCUCGCGCUCUCGGAGCGGCCGAUGUCCGAUUAGGCUAGUUGGUGGGGUAAGGGCCCACCAAGGCGACGAUCGGUAGCGGGUCUGAGAGGACGAUCCGCCACACUGGGACUGAGACACGGCCCAGACUCCUACGGGAGGCAGCAGUGGGGAAUCUUGGACAAUGGGCGCAAGCCUGAUCCAGCAAUGCCGCGUGGGUGAAGAAGGCCUUCGGGUUGUAAAGCCCUUUCGGCGGGGAAGAAAUCGGUCAGGCGAAUAGUCUGGCCGGAUGACGGUACCCGCAGAAGAAGCACCGGCUAACUACGUG
rnacentral:rRNA from 1 species